UGGGAUUAAAAGCUUGCACCACUACCUGGCGUGUUUCUUUCUCAGUUAAGUUCUAAACAAGUGUAGACUUUGGAGUCCUUAAAGGAGUUAUGGGGUAAGGUCUUCCCCUAUUUCUGACUCUUGUGAUUAUUUCUUGAAUGUGCUCUCGGCUCUUUUAGACAACCCGGUGUUUUUAAAGGUAGCUCCACCUGUGACUUCACAGAACUUCUCCAUCUGUCCACAGCUGACUGGAGGGCAUGUACCCCAGAACCUCCAUUUCCAGAAAUGUUCUAAUGCUGUUGGCCCACAAUCACUGUGAGUAAAAGGCACCACUUUGUUUUACUGUGGGACUAUUAAACAGGUGUCAGAGAGCACUCAGCUUCCCUGGUGCCGCAUUCACCCACACAGUCUUGGUUUUACUGGUUCUUAAACAUUCCUUGUUUGGAUGCAUGGUGUAUUAUUCUUGUCUUCCGUCUCUGUCUCUCAUGAUCUUGACAAUUUUGAAGAGUUUGGACAACUGUUUUGUGGAAUCCCCUUUAAUUUAGACCUGUCUAGUUUUGUCUAAUGAUUAAAUUCCAACUAUGCAUUUUAGGCAAAAAAUAAAAAUAAACUGAUGUGGCCUCAGCAUCAAACCAUCAGUUGACAUAUCUGCCAAGUUUCUUUAGCAUAAAGCUACUAUUUCUGAUUAAGCAUCUCAUGAAAAAAACACUGGAACAUCUUGUGUGGAGGUCAGAGACCAACUUGUAGGAAAUCUAUUCUCCCAGGCCCAGGGAUAGAACUCAUCAGGCUUAGCAGCAAGCACCUUUAUCCUCUUAACCAUCCUGCCAGCCCCAGAACAUCUCUUGCUUUCACAGCCUCUCAUUGUUUUCCACUGGUCAGUUCUGUAGUUUGCCUAGUGGUCAAUCUUCACUCCCAUCAAACCCUUUUGUAUUAACUUGAAAUUCUGUAAGGAAGAAUACUCCUAUCUGACCAAACAUGUAUGGAUUGAAGGGUACUUGCAUUAUGGUAUGAGCAAAAAACCAUUAUGUGGUCACAGCUCACAUGGCAGGGUCCUAGUUUAGCCCGUCAGGAUGGGCACACAAGUGUCUCCAACUUCCAUGGCUACUAUAUGAGCUCUUCCUUUCUGGCAAGUUUCCAAUGAGCCAGGCUUUUCUCAUUAAAGUAUGAUACUAAAUGUAGGAUCUACUGUUUAGUGUCACUGUGUCUGGGGGUGCCCUAAGCAGAGUUGACUGGACUCAUUUCAUCUUUCAAACAUCAUUAGAUUCCACCAUAGGCUUCAGUCUACUCAAGCCUGAUUUCUUUGUAGAACAAGUAAAACUGGGCUUUUAUUACCCUUAACUUACUUUACUCCAUAUUAAUAUCCAAAACCUAAUUUCACAGUGCAUUCCCUUACAAGAAACAAACUUUGCUGAAGCAAGAAAACUCGUGUUUACUAUUAUGUCCUUGUAGGAUAUAGUCCAGAUACUACCACCAGCUACUGGGCUCCUGCUUUUGUCCCCCAGCCCCUACAGCAUGGUUUUGCUAUUCACUUGGAAUCAGUGAAGUGCCUUGUGUACUUAGGUCUGCUCUUGCCCCUCCUCCUUCCUAUCUGCCCACUCCACCUCCUACCGUCACAUCUCAUUCACUUCUGGCCAGUUCAUCUCAGAUUCUGACACAAGUGAGGAAAUGUGCUACAUGUCUUCAGCUCUUUUCUCCUAAGAAUGAGUAUUUCUUUUGGUCUCAGCAGUACUGUGGGCUCAGCUCCAGGUGGCUUCAGCUGGACCUAGAAGACUGUUAGAUGUGUCAGCAGGGUAAGCUGGCCAGCAUGCUUCCCAGCCAUUGAACUGCAGAUCUUUGAAAUACCACAUGCAUGAAGUACUGACAACGAUCAAAGGUGUCAAAUCUCCUAGAAGUGGAGUCAUAAACCAGUGUCCUUAACCUCUGAGCAUCCCUGGAGCCUGUCCUGUUUUUAAGGUCACUACAGUUCUGCAUCAUGAACUGCAUUAAUUAGUGGCCAAAGCAGUUUUUCAAAUCAAAACUAUUGGAAUUUGCUACAUUUCAGAUUUCCUAUUCAGUAACUGAGCAAUAGUAGUUAUUUUUUUUAGAUGUAUGGAUGUUUUGACUGCACGAAUAUCUUUGUACCACUUCUGUGUUUAGUACCUGCAGGGGCUAGAUGAGGGGUAUCAGACCUAGACUGUGAACCACCUAUCUGAGUGCUGGAAAUGAAACGUGGGUACUCAGGAAGUGCAGUCAGCGCUCUCAACCACUAAGCCAUUUCUCUAUCCCCAGGCAGUCUUUUUUUUCUUUAAAUAUAUAUAAGCAGGCAGGUGUGGUGGGACAAACCUGUGAUCCCAGCAGAGGCAGAAUGAUUCUAGAGCCCCAGGCUAACCUAAACUACAUAGUAAUGUCUCGCAAAACAUACAUACCUAGACUAGAAGCAUAAAGGUUUACAGGGCAGGGUAGCUCACAAAAUCCCAGCACUCAAGAGGGAGAUCUCUUGAGUUCAAGGUUAGCCUGGUGUACAUAGAGUUCUGCGAUACACAAAGAAACCCUGUCUCAAAGAAAAAAGGAAAGUCUUUUCACUAAAGCCAUUUGGAAAUAUAUUUCUGUCAUUCUGCCUGAAGGCUGAAACAUAGGGAAAUUGGCUUUUACAACAUAGUUUUAAAAUUAGGGAGAAAAAAAACAGCAGUGGGAGGGUGCUUCAGGAGAGAUGGUUCAGUUUCCAGCACUCACAAGAUUGUAAGUCCAGCUCCAGGGGAUCCAAUACCCUCUUCUGGCCUCAAAAGGUACUGUAUACAUAUGUUAGUGUACCGUUUAAAAUUAAAAAUGAAAUAUGCAGGAGCCAGGUGUAAUGCUGCAUCCCAGCACUUGGGAGGCAGAGGCAGGCAGAUCUCAGAGUUCCAGGUCAGCCAGAGCUACAUAAGACUUUCAGAAAAAAGAAUGACAAUUUGAGACCAUCCCACCAUUUUUUUCCACAUGAAAGGAAUAUGAGCUAUGUCCAGUAAUAAUUUAAAUAUAAACAAAAGACUGUUAAAAUGUUACUUUUAUUUGAACUCACCUGAGUAAGUGUGGGACAAUGAAACAAAUACAAUAGGAUAUAUACAGCAUGUCAAGGAGGCAGCCUUUAAGAACAUGCUAUAGAAAAGAGGAAGACUGGGCAAAGCCUGAAUUGACAGAAUCUCUGGGUACGGAUCAACCCAUAUGCAAAUCCAAUAAUCUCCAAAGGAUUUGGCAAAGAUUUAUUUUCUUUUCAUUUCUAGUCUUUUAAAGUAGACAGAUCUGCUUACAAUACAGCUGAUUUUAAAAGCACACAAAAUUUAAGUACAACAGUGGGAUUAAAUCUAGCAGAGUGAUGAAGGUGCUUGCAACAAAACUGACUGCCCAAGGCAGUAAUGGCAUACAAUGAGGCUGGAUCCUCAUCCUACAAAGCAAGAAGAGGUGGGGACGACUGCACAGUAGGGUUUGUGAGUAACCUUAGCUUCUACUUGCUACUUAAUUCACAUAGUAAGAGACCUUUACAGAUAACCCGCACCCAUUUAAUUAACCACGUAGCAAUUUCUACUAUGCAAUAGGAUUAUAAGGCCACAAUAUUCUUUUGGGACAAACCCUGUAAUGAUUUUGAUAUCACUUACUCAUUCUUUUGAAGUGUAAAGUGUCUUAAGUAGAUUACAAUUAUAGAUCAUUUUUAAA